UUGGUGCCGUGAUUAUAAGGGUUAGGUUGUUGUCUCGGUAAAGGAUGUGAGAUUCAUCACUUUUCUCCAAUGAGUUAGGUGUUAUAGGACCGCUCUUGCUUCCAAGCUCAGCUGCAUAUUUAAUACUGGCAUACCACCACUUUC